UCCUACGGGAGGCAGCAGUGGGGAAUAUUGGACAAUGGGCGCAAGCCUGAUCCAGCCAUACCGCGUGUGUGAAGAAGGCCUUCGGGUUGUAAAGCACUUUAAGCAGGGAGAAAAAGUUAUAAGUUAAUACCUUAUAGUCCUUGAUGUUACCUGCAGAAUAAGCACCGGCUAAUUCCGUGCCAGCAGCCGCGGUAAU
rnacentral:rRNA from 1 species